GACGAACGCUGGCGGCGUGCUUAACACAUGCAAGUCGAACGGAAAGGCCCUGCUUUUGUGGGGUGCUCGAGUGGCGAACGGGUGAGUAACACGUGAGUAACCUGCCCUUGACUUUGGGAUAACUUCAGGAAACUGGGGCUAAUACCGGAUAGGAGCUCCUGCUGCAUGGUGGGGGUUGGAAAGUUUCGGCGGUUGGGGAUGGACUCGCGGCUUAUCAGCUUGUUGGUGGGGUAGUGGCUUACCAAGGCUUUGACGGGUAGCCGGCCUGAGAGGGUGACCGGCCACAUUGGGACUGAGAUACGGCCCAGACUCCUACGGGAGGCAGCAGUGGGGAAUAUUGCACAAUGGGCGGAAGCCUGAUGCAGCAACGCCGCGUGCGGGAUGACGGCCUUCGGGUUGUAAACCGCUUUCGCCUGUGACGAAGCGUGAGUGACGGUAAUGGGUAAAGAAGCACCGGCUAACUACGUGCCAGCAGCCGCGGUGAUACGUAGGGUGCGAGCGUUGUCCGGAUUUAUUGGGCGUAAAGGGCUCGUAGGUGGUUGAUCGCGUCGGAAGUGUAAUCUUGGGGCUUAACCCUGAGCGUGCUUUCGAUACGGGUUGACUUGAGGAAGGUAGGGGAGAAUGGAAUUCCUGGUGGAGCGGUGGAAUGCGCAGAUAUCAGGAGGAACACCAGUGGCGAAGGCGGUUCCCUGGGCCUUUCCUGACGCUGAGGAGCGAAAGCGUGGGGAGCGAACAGGCUUAGAUACCCUGGUAGUCCACGCUGUAAACGGUGGGUACUAGGUGUGGGGUCCAUUCCACGGGUUCCGUGCCGUAGCUAACGCUUUAAGUACCCCGCCUGGGGAGUACGGCCGCAUGGCUAAAACUCAAAGGAAUUGACGGGGCCCCGCACAAGCGGCGGAGCAUGCGGAUUAAUUCGAUGCAACGCGUAGAACCUUACCUGGGUUUGACAUGGAUCGGGAGUGCUCAGAGAUGGGUGUGCCUCUUUUGGGGUCGGUUCACAGGUGGUGCAUGGCUGUCGUCAGCUCGUGUCGUGAGAUGUUGGGUUAAGUCCCGCAACGAGCGCAACCCUUGUUCACUGUUGCCAGCACGUUAUGGUGGGGACUCAGUGGAGACCGCCGGGGUCAACUCGGAGGAAGGUGGGGAUGACGUCAAGUCAUCAUGCCCCUUAUGUCCAGGGCUUCACGCAUGCUACAAUGGCUGGUACAGAGAGUGGCGAGCCUGUGAGGGUGAGCGAAUCUCGGAAAGCCGGUCUCAGUUCGGAUUGGGGUCUGCAACUCGACCUCAUGAAGUCGGAGUCGCUAGUAAUCGCAGAUCAGCAACGCUGCGGUGAAUACGUUCCCGGGGCU
rnacentral:rRNA from 1 species